CAUAAGUAUAUAUUAAAGUUGUUGUAGUUCAACGCUCCUAGUCAACCUUGUACUGGUGAUUUUCUAGACGUCCUUUACCUUCGGGUACAUGUGUAUGUCAUGAAACCCAGUUUCUGCACUACCUUUUGGUUUAGUGCCUUUUACUGAGACUAAAUUGGAAUGUUCCACGUAGACUUACGUUUGAACAAUACAGCUUGGAAUAAUAUUCUAGGAACCUCUUGUUUCAUUUGACAAGCUUGAGGUUAAUAAGUGAUAAGAGCCGACGGGGGUGCUUGUAUUAAUACUUAAGAGGUGAAAUUCUUUAAUAGUAUUAAGACAGUCUUAUGCGAAAGCAUUCACCAAGAAGGUUUCUGUUGA
rnacentral:rRNA from 1 species